UUAUUAUAAAAGUUUAGAAGUCAGUUUAGGCAUCUGGACUGGUUAGUGUGGACUCCAUUGUAUAAGGCAGAGGCAUGUGACACAGAUGACAGUUUGGAGUUAGAAUCAGUUAGGGAGAACUUAUCCCUUAGGUACUGUACGGACCAGGUUCAUUAGUAAGAAAGGGCACUUCAUGUUUAAUUAGUAUCAGUGAGCACUUUAAGCUGAAGUAAAUAACUGGGCUAGUGUGAAUAAUCAAUCAAAUACUAAUGGGGAAAUACAACUAGGAAUUUAGUGGGGAACAUGUCUGAAUGAGCAGAGAUGGAUCUAGAGAAGAUUUUAUCCUGUCAGAAAAUUAGAAUCAAGGAGAUAGAGGAAAUGAAUAUAUAAGUCAGUAGCUAUAUAUGUUCCCAUUCAUUGUGGCUCUGCUUUAAAUAGGAAUUCCUAUGGAUUCAACGAAAGCUCUGCUCACAACAAUGCUUUGAGUUUGGUUCAAGUAUAAUCCCCAUGAUGAAGUAAUGAAGAGGAGAGAAAGUUGAGGAAGCCCAGAAGGAUGAGGAAACAGAGUGAGAAGUUAAAUGGUUUGCUCAUAAUCACACUAGAAUGAAGGACCUCAAGUUCAUACCAAAAGUGAAAGAAAUGUUUGAAAGAAAUGAAGAUACCUGUUCUGGAGAAGAACAGAAUUGGGGGUGGUCUCUGAGUCAGUCUGUGAUUCACUGCUGUGAUAAACUUUGGGGAAGAGAACCUGCUGUCCUUCCUUCCCCCACCUUCACUUCAUACCUCCACGGCUAUUUGUGAACUCAUCCCAAACCAGCCUCGGCAUCUGCAUUCAGGAGCUGCUCCUGCUUCAUGGAUUUUUUGCUGGAAGAUAUAGAGGUGGCACAGCAGUAGGAAGAAGAGAAGGAGGAACAGAAUAUUCAGAUGGAGAGAGCCUCUCUGAGCCCCAGAAACCAAGCUGGACUCUUGCCAGGAGACAACACCCUUCUUGGUCAGCCACUUUGUGCAUUAAGCUAUCAGAAGUUCUUGGGGAGGAGGACUGCCUCACAUUCUCCUUCCAUUCUCAGCCCACAUUUCCAUUUGAGGAGUUAAUCUUCAAACAGGAAAGUUCCACAAGCCAGACCACCACCCUUUCUCCUCCAUAAUAAACCUACUCAAUCCUGUUAAGAAAUAUUUCUUUGGUCUCUGGGAGUUAAGCUUGAACCUGGAACUCCUUAAUAACUCUAUUACUCCUUCCCAUUUCCAACAACCUCCCUCCAGCCUCCCAAUGUGCCUUGUUUACUAGUUACCCCAGAGUGGUCCCUGAGCCUUUGUGUCCUGAUCAGCUCCCAGGGAACUGUAAACCUGCUCUCAUCCACAGUUCCCAGAAACACAGUUGCUCAAGUCAGAGAUAAGGUUUGGUUUGUCACAGUCUAGUUCCCCUGUCAACAAAGUCUGAGAGAUCACUUCUCCGCUGCAUGCUGCUCUAUGAAACAUUGCUUAAUUUUUCUAGGACUCAAUUUCCUCCAAGGAAAUUGGAGCUCGAUUACCUUUCUAGUUGUGCUCAUUAUUCUUUUGCUGAUUGCAGCCACGAAAAGCCAAGACAGGUAUCUAAAGCCUCAACUCUGUUACUGUUACAUAUGCAGUCCCCCUGCAAUUGAAUAUAGAUACAUAGAGGGCAAGCAGGAAUUGGAACAUCUGUAGAUUCUCUGCAGUAAUGGGUGACUGGUAUGAGACCCUCAGCAAAGCUCUUGCUAUCAACAAUCUUUUUCAACGCUCAGCAAGUCCCCUGCAAAUCUCCUAAGAGUUUCCUCUCCCUAUUUCCUAGGGCACGACUAGCCCAGUUCAGCUCCUCGCCUUCCCAAAGAAAAUGCCCAGUUCUCACCUUCGGUGACUCAGGAGGCUUGGCUGAUGGGUUCCACAUCUGGCAGUGCCUCCUUUUCAUUUCUGUGCUUCACAGGGAGGGACUGAGGUUAGUCCAGGGACGGGAAAAGUCCUUCAGAAUCCCAAGCCCUCUUGUUUCCAUACCCUCCAUGUUCCUUUCCUAUAGGAAAUUGAUAGAUGAUGUUCCUUUAACUGUCCAGAUGGGGCUGCAAAAGGGUCCAAGAAAUAGCUCAUAGCUCACUCUGUUGAGCUCAGAGUGACUCCUCUGAUUAUCAGUCUCUGUAGGAUGCUAGGACCUUGUCAAUGACAUUGGACAAACCUGCACCCUUCAAUGUAGAGCAGACAUGGCAAUUUCUGGACCCUUCCAUUCCAACUGUUAAUCAAAUGAUGAUUUCCCAAAAGGCACUUGUCUGAUUACAUCAAUAUUUUUGGAACAUUUUAGGAGCAAUCAAAGCAUCUUUUUUCACAUAACACAAAUGCCCCACUUCUCUUUCCAGCCAUGAAUAUCCUUGUGCAUAGUCUUUAUCCUGCCUAUCACAACCAGGUCAUCCUCAGUUAUACACUGAAGAUUGCCUAUAGCCUUCAUCCUCCACCAUGCUUCUUUCUCUUGUCCUUUGGGGCACCUGAUGGUCUUGAUUCUUCCACAAUAAUGAUACCUUCUUAUUUAAUGUGAGAAUCGUCAGAAAAAUAAUGAUGGUUUUAAAGUUGAUAUUGAGCAACAGAAAGUAGUUGCAAAGAAGUAGAAAUUGUUGUCACUUAUCAAAUGGGAUCCAGUCUAAUCUCCUGCUCCCCUACUGGCCAUUAUGGAGUCAAAUCUCCUUAUAGGAAAGUUAAUCUGAUGUUUCUAGGAAUCUAAGGUAUCCUACACAAUGCACUUCUUCUACCCAUCAAUGAUUUUUAGUGGUGGGCAAUCUUGAUAUAUCCAAUUUGGGUCAGAGAUGAGCUUGUCACGCUCACAAGACAAUAUUUGGGAGUCUAUCAUGGACAACUCUAUCCUUGGGUAUAGGUAUAACACUUAAAGAGAGGAUUGGCAAUAAGACCCACGUAGGAACAUCCUGAAUGGGGCAUAGCAGCUCUGAAGUUUGUAGUUUAUAGAAGGUAUGUUUUUGUUGUUGCUACAUUUAAUGUCCAAAUGUCACAGCAAUCCACCCACAGAUUUUAACAACUAGAAAUGGCAUUGUGAAGCUAUUGAGAAACAAAGCACAGUGCAUCUUGGAUCUAAACAUUUGCUGAGGGGACAGAUGGUUUGGAGGUGCCCCAGAUUCUUAUUUUGUAUAUUGAUGAUAAAAAGGUAUUGUGGAACCUUUAGAAAGUGCUCUCAACAGCUCAAGUUUGGUUUAACGUUAAAAAGACAUCUAUUUUAGAUGAUCCAGUGAAGUGUUCUUGCUACAAAUGGUCAAUUUGAGAAAGAAAUAUGGAAAGGUCCAGGACUGGAGGAAAUACAGUGUGGCCUUAAAAGAUGGCUCCCAUGGCAAAGGCAUCUGUUUUCAUAAUGAAUUUGUCAAUGUAUCUGUUAGUAUCAGGAUAGGGACUUAUAUGAACUAAGUCUACAGAUCAUUAGAUGCAGCCUCAAUUUAGGUGCUUCAGCAGAUCAUAGAAGUGUGAUUGAUCAUUAAAGGCAAUGUAGACAUGGUUGUUAAUACUCUGUGAAUCUAAGGCUUCCCUAGAUAAGCCCUUGUCCCCUCUACCUGAUUGUAAUAUGACUAUGUUGUGGUAUGCCCCCAAGAAUUAUUAGAUCCCCUUUCACAAACUGGCAUAUCUCCAAUUUGCUAAAUAGCAGAUCUGACAAAGGUUUUGGGAGCCAGGAUUGGUUCAGACUAAUUCAAUGUGGUACAAAGGACCCUGGGAAUAUUUCACCAAAAUAAAGCACUAUUCUCCUGAAUAUCAGAUCUUGAAUCACCAAAUUUGUGAAUCUCUGAAAAAUUACUGCUCUAUUCAAAUGGUGUAAACACAGUAUUCAUACAUGUCAGACUGGAAUGUCAUCUGUCUUUUAAUGUCCUUUCUUAUCUGGAUCAGCUUGUAUGUCCCUAGAAGUUCAAUUCGUCGACUAUCACAGGUCUUGCCUAUUGGUCUGUCAGAUCAGUUCAAAGCAAGAAGUAAUACUCCUUCUGGAGAAUGACGGAAUUUGGGACUCUACAGUCAUGGCACAAAGCCCCUGUACUCCUUUUAACAAUGCUGAGGCUCUAGAUGUGAGUUAAGGAACCAAAUUAACAGUUAUCUCAGAUCCAUUGUCUCUAGCUUGACAAAGGAUAUAAUGCCCACUGGCCAAAAUCAGAGUAUCUCAGAACCAGACUUUCAGCUCAGAUAUUACUUUUUGCAUAAUGCUGAUCCCUCUCCAGCUUGUUAGUGUCUCUAUCUCUCCUGCCCCCACAAAUUACACUGUAUUUGUUUUGCAUGCACUUGAUUUAUAUGUGCUAUGUACAUAUAUGGAAAAGGAGGGAGAGAGAGAGAGAGAGAGAAAGAGAGAGAGAGAAAGAGAUGUACAUAUAAGAGAUUGUGUUCUCUCAUCGACAACAUGGACUAUUUUUGUCUUUGUAUUCCCAGUGCUUAGU